GCCGGGUGUGGUGGUGCACACCUAUAGUCCCAGCUACCCAGGAGGCUGAGUUGGGAGGAUCACCUGAGCCCAGGGAGGUCGAAGCUGCAGUGAGCCAUGAUUGCACCACUGCACUCCAGCCUGGGCAACAUAGUGAGAUCCUGUCUCAA
rnacentral:SRP_RNA from 1 species